rnacentral:tRNA from 1 species
GGCCCCGUGGCUCAGUGGUAGAGCGUGUGAUUCCAGCAAGUAGGUGGAUAUCCACAAGGUCAUCCGUUCAAAUCGGGUCGGGGUCA